AUCCAUAUGACGACUCCCAAAUAGAAUGAAACGCGCGUACUGGAU
rfam:Schistosoma margrebowiei strain Zambia genome assembly, scaffold: SMRZ_contig0006294